rnacentral:lncRNA from 1 species
AAUGAGCUCCAACACACCUCUAUACCCUUUGCACAAUUGCACAAAGGUCCCUCAACAAUAUAAGUCACACACAGCCCAAACUGGGCCAUUUUCGGGUGCUGGGACCGGUCUCUGGACUUGAGGGACCGGUCCCCGAAUGUCCAGAAAAACAGCAUUCCAGACUUAGCCAAAUUUUCAGCUUUUUCAGCUUUCGGGGUCCGUUUUCGCUCCGUUUUCGCCCGUUUGACCUCCGAUUCG